rnacentral:lncRNA from 1 species
GGACAAUAUAUUAUUGUGGUCUAAAACCAGGUGUUUCAGUUUCAUUGUCCAACCCCUGUAGAUAGAUGCAGUUGAUUGGAUAACAUAUGAUGUAAUUGUUUGUCAUUACGGAAUUGCGCUAUGGAAUUAAAUAAAAUAGCGAAACAACAGCCAUAACCAUGAAGUGAAUCUUCUUCUGCUGUUUGGUUCUCUCUCUUCUAGGGUGCCCUGUUUUUGGGUGAGGCAGAUCGUCCCUCUCUCUAGAUACUUAGGCAUGAUGGAAUCAUUCUCCUGCUUCCAGUUACUCUUACAGAAAGACCCAGAGGCAGCACACCGACUGUCUCAGGACAUGACUCAGAGACUCCUGUCUGCAAUGAAAGUGACAUCCACAGAAACAGAGGUCACCAUGGGGGUUUGCUACUUUUAUUUUCAGGCCUGCAAGCCCUCUGCUGAGUGAUUUUCAGAUUACAGGAUGCUCUUGUGUUUGGUGUCGGGUCAGUGUCAAAAAUUGCGAGCAGAGAAACCUUCCUCACACAAGGAAAUAAUCACCGUUUAUUUCGUAAGAAAUUAUAUUAUGUGCAUGCAAAACCAUUCAUGCAAGAGCAAAGAGAAUAUGUCGUGCAGUCAGUACUCGGUCACAGUUUUGACAGUAUGAGAAGAACCUACAUAUGAUUGGUUAAUGCUGUUUUCUGGAUCUCACUUGUAAUUGGCUGUCUGUCAGUACUUGUGUUAAAGGCUCUUUCUGUAUUUAAAAAAAAAACCUUUGACAAACUCCUGUCAACAUCUGAAAUGCACUAUUACUAGAAUAUCUGCCUGUACACACCCAAUUCUACCUUAGUAAAUGUUCUAAUCAGUAUUAAUCUGCUACUCUUAGUUACACUGGUUGCAAAAGUAUUCAUACCUCUUUCACAUUUUGUCAACAUUUAAGCUUACAACCACAAGCGUAAAUGUAUUUUAUUAUUAAUAAGUGAUAGAUCAUCAUAAAGUAGCACAUAAUUGUAAAGCGGAAUACAAGUGAUAAAUGGUUUUCAAAACUUUAAUCAAAUAAAAAUCUGAAAUGAAUGAUGUGCA